GACGAACGCUGGCGGCGUGCUUAACACAUGCAAGUCGAACGGAAAGGCCCUGCUGUUGUGGGGUGCUCGAGUGGCGAACGGGUGAGUAACACGUGAGUAACCUGCCCUUUACUUUGGGAUAACUUCAGGAAACUGGGGCUAAUACCGGAUAGGAGCUCCUGCUGCAUUGUGGGGGUUGGAAAGUUUCGGCGGUUGGGGAUGGACUCGCGGCUUAUCAGCUUGUUGGUGGGGUAGUGGCUUACCAAGGCUUUGACGGGUAGCCGGCCUGCGAGGGUGACCGGCCACAUUGGGACUGAGAUACGGCCCAGACUCCUACGGGAGGCAGCAGUGGGGAAUAUUGCACAAUGGGCGGAAGCCUGAUGCAGCAACGCCGCGUGCGGGAUGACGGCCUUCGGGUUGUAAACCGCUUUCGCCUGUGACGAAGCGUGAGUGACGGUAAUGGGUAAAGAAGCACCGGCUAACUACGUG
rnacentral:rRNA from 1 species